UACGGAAGGCAGCAGUGGGGAAUAUUGCACAAUGGGCGAAAGCCUGAUGCAGCUAUGCCGCGUGUAUGAAGAAGGCCUUAGGGUUGUAAAGUACUUUCAUCGGGGAGGAAAAAAACAAAACUAAUAAUUUUAUUUCUUGACGUUACCCGAAAAAGAAGCACCGGCUAACUCCGUGCCAGCAGCCGCGGUAAUACGGAGGGUGCUAGCGUUAAUCAGAAUUACUGGGCGUAAAGAGCACGUAGGUGGUUUUUUUAAAGUCAGAUGUGAAAUCCCUGGGCUUAACCUAGGAACUGCAUUUUGAAACUGAAAUACUAGAGUAUCGUAGAGGGAGGUAGAAUUCUAGGUGUAGCGGUGAAAUGCGUAGAUAUCUGGAGAAAUACCUGUGGCGAAAGCGGCCUCCUAAACGAAUACUGACACUGAGGUGCGAAAGCUGGGGAGCAAACAGGGAUUAGAUACC
rnacentral:rRNA from 1 species